AUCGGCUAAUUCACAAGUCUGCAAGUUCCCGAAGUUGGAUAAAAAAAAUAGGCGAGAAGCGAAUGGAUAGCAGAAGCUGUUUCAAGUCAAGUAAACUGUCUGAGUGCCAUGAUGAUGAUCAAUUUCAUCAGCUCUAUUGGAAGAGCAAAUUUGUCAUGAAGACAAACCACUGUUAUGGAUAGGAUUAUAGUAAAAGUGUUGUCAAGUCAAGGUUGCAGCAGUGCUUUAUUCUACGCCUUUGUGUCCAACGAAUAUGUGGAACCCGGGUAACUUAAGCUUAACAAACAAAUAAUUCUUGCAAUAAUUCUAAAACAUUUGGAGGAAACAUAGUUAUGUCAAUUUUUCGUCACUUGGCGAGUCUUCCGCAGAAGAAAUAAAUAAAACUUUUAAAUAGCAACGAAAGCAACGACUAUGAUUGCACCUGUGUCUGUGUGCAUUACGUUGACACAUUCCUGUCUCAAAGCUGUAGAGCCAGGAUAAAAUUUAGCACCUCUUCCGAAUUGAUUCUAUACUUUUUCCAUUUCUUGAAUGUCAGUACAUUUAGCAUUCAUUUGAACAAAUGAAUAUUAGUUAUUUUUGCAAUACAAAUUUUCAAAAUAAUAAAAUGUUAAAUAUGUAGAAGCCUGUGGUCCAGAACUUGCCAGGGAUAGGUUUUCAGCUGAAGUGUGUUCAUUUCGUCUGUUUUCACUCUAAGUAGGAUGUGGGUUCUGUAAUUUAAGUCUGUUUGUUGAUGGCGCCCGUCAAUGGUUGGAAAACAAGUUUUAUUGUUCUAAUAAUUGUGAAAGUUUGAUGUGAGGGCAUUUUUUAUUAUUAUUAACCUGUAGUAGUGUAGCAAAACUAGAUCAUAACUACCAUGUCAAGUGGCCCGCGCAAUUAUUAAUGAAUCACAUGUGUCCCUUCGACCAAAAAGGUUGGCCGACCCUGUUGUAGACUAUAACAGUAGUGGGAAGAAUUCUAUUUAUGAUAAAUUGUUAUUAUUUUGACAUUUCGGGUAAUGCGCGUCAGCUCUUCGUAGUUCUGCCGCCGAGCUUGUUUUGCUUCGGCAAAAUCAACGAAAUACAUCAAAAACCGACUUUGCAAAGACAGCAAAUUACAACAAAAUCGGGUU